UCUCGUUUCUGGUUAGAGAGUAGAGAUAGAGAGAUGCUGCAAUUAGGGUUUAUGCUAGAGAAACAGAGAACAAAGAGUCUGGGAGCAAGCCCAUCGCGCAGUACACGGUGGACACGCGGCUCUACGCCAUCUUCGAGCAGUCCGGUGAGUUCGGGAGGUCCUUCAACUACUCUGUCCCUGAGCAGCAGAUAAUGGCUUACCUUGUCAAAAUCCAGUUCGGCGGCUUCAUCCAGCCCUUCGGCUCCAUGAUCGCCAUCGACGAGCCCUCCUUCCGCAUCCUCGGUUACUCCGACAACGCCCGCAACAUGCUCGACAUUACUCCGCAGUCCGUGCCUUCGCUCGACGACAAGAGUGACACCGCCUUCACUCUCGGCACCGAUGUUCGAGCCCUCUUCACUCACUCCAGUGCCUUACUCCUCAAAAAGGCCUUCUCUGAACGCAAAAUUAGCCUCAUGAACCCUAUCUGGAUCCACUCUAGAACCUCGAAAAGGCCUUCGUCCUCGCUUUCUUUGAGACAAACAGAGGGCCAAGAUAAAGGAGAAGAUUGACAAAUUUGUCAAAGAAAAGUUAUUGGACUUCUGUGAUGUUCUUAAUAUUCAAAUAAACAAGACCAAUGUGAAGAAGGAGGAGGGGUCUACAAAGUUGUUGGAAUAUUUGGAGUCCCCACAUGCUACAACUAAGAUUCUACUUGCUGAUAAAGAGCAGAAAGGUAAAAAGAGAACCAGAAAGUCAUUCCCUAGCAAAUCUCCUGGGAAAGCAUCUACAGAGACACCUGCCAAGGCUUGGUUUAGAGAGCUACCAACUGGAGUAUUGGACCCUCUUUCGCUAGAGCAGGUGAUGCAAUCCCAGUCAGAAGAAGAAUGUGCUCAGCUUAUGAGGCUUCUUCCUCCAACAGAAGCUACUUUGCUAGAUUGGGCAAUAAACUUAAUGGCAAAUGUUGCUCAAAUGGAAAACUUGAACAACAUGAAUGCACGUAAUAUUGCAAUGGUUUUUGCACCAAACAUGACUCAAGUAAUAUUAAAUCAUUUUUUGUUGUAAAUGUUGUAUAGAGUUCUACUCUUAGCUCCAAUUUUUGUUAUUCAAUUCAUACCAGUCAAAUUCAUCUUAUUGGAUAUAACAUCAAUGAGUAAAACAAACAUUUUGAUAUAUUUUCAUUUAUGUAAAAGUCUUCUAUUGAAGGAAUAAAAAGA